UUUUUUAUUUUCUAAUAAAUUGAUUAGAUUAUAUUUCAACACUUUAAAAAAUAAUUACUUUAAUUAACAAUAAAAAUAUGUUUAAUAUUAUUAUUAAUUUAAUUAAUUAAAACUAUUGUACUAAAUAUAAAAAUUUGAAUAUUAAUUUAAUAAUUUAGAUACUUUCAAAAAAAGUGCACCCUAGAAAUAAUAAUCAGGCAGAAGAAGACACGCUAAUCACCAAACUGGUCCCAAAACCAAUCUCAGUUUAAAAAUAUUAUCCUUCACAAACAUUAUUUUAAGAUCUAAUCAGCACCCAAUAAUUAUAACCAAACAAAUCAAAACUAACAUCUUCAUUUAAUAAAAUAUGAAUAUUUACAAAUCAAGUAAAACCCAAAAACGCUAUUUGCCCAUCAUCUUCUUCUCUAAUGAAUAUUGAACUACAUUUACCAUAAAUCAAGCAGAGAAGAAGCCACGAGAGGCAGCAAGACCAAUCUGGGACCUGGGUUCCAGACCCAACUUGAGACGCUGGACUUUUUCAAGAGCCGGUGUGGUCCGAAUGGUCUGAACCAGGACUAAGACAGAAGAUUUGAGCCCGAGCUCUCGGUCAGAGCUUACCCUUGCUGAACUCUUGAGCCUUCUCUCGUACUCCUCUGCAACCANNNN
rnacentral:lncRNA from 1 species